AAGUCGUAACAAGGUUUCCGUAGGUGAACCUGCGGAAGGAUCAUUAACGUAUCUCUGACGGGGGGCUGGUGGCCCUGCUCCGGUUCCGACCGUGCAGCGGGCCCCGUUCCCUGGACACACUACAAACCCACCUGUGCACCUUUCGCGGUUGGGAGGACGUGGCGCGAGCCCGUCCGAACCCGCGCUCACAAACGCUAGUCUUAAGAAUGUCGAGCGGACUCUGUUCCGACCACAAAUGUAACAACUUUCAACAACGGAUCUCUUGGCUCUCGCAUCGAUGAAGAACGCAGCGAAAUGCGAUAAGUAAUGUGAAUUGCAGAAUUCAGUGAAUCAUCGAAUCUUUGAACGCACCUUGCGCUCCUUGGUAUUCCGAGGAGCAUGCCUGUUUGAGUGUCUUGAAGUCAUCAACCCUCCACAUUUCUUGUGGUGGGUUGGAUAUGGGGCCGUGCCGCUGAAAGGUGGCUCCCCUCAAAUGCAUCGGUUGGGCCUGUGGGUCGAACUCGACUGGGCGUUGUACCAUCCUCGCUCUACCGAGAAGUUCCCCGUCUGGCGCCUUGACCACGACCUGCCUGUGGAGCGGCGGUCAAGCAAGCUUUUUGAAAUCUGACCUCAAAUCAGGUAGGACUACCCGCUGAACUUAA
rnacentral:rRNA from 1 species